rnacentral:lncRNA from 1 species
GAAAAGCAUUGAAAUGUCACUGACUUUGACUGUCAGAUGUGUGCGGUCAGGCAGGCAUGUGUUUCUCGGAUGCUCAUUGUAGCUCUUGCUUAUCCAUUUUUAUUACCUGAUCCAGGACAGGGAGGAGUCUCAUUUUGCAUCAAGAGCUUUCCAUGGGUCAUCUUAUUUCACCCUGCACGAUGCUGUGUGGUCUCAUCACCACUGAACACACAAGACCCUGAGACUCUGAGAGGUAGACACUGCACUCUACAGCUGCGAUUCACACCUGGAUCUGCUGGCUCAAGGUCUGCACUCUUUCCACUGCACCACAGUAACCCACAUGAAUCAGCAAUGAAAAGGCAAGACGGAGUAAGCUUCAAGCACUGAUGACCAUCUGUUUUAGCCAGUUGCUAUGAAACAGAGCGUUAUGCAGAAGCUGAAGUACUAAUGCCUUAUUAGAGGAUGCAAGCCCAGGGAAGCAAGAGUGAGAGGUCCUGGGGACUUUUUCUUCUUGUGUCUGUACCUCAUCAGUUAAUUCUGGCUCCAUACAGAAUGCAAAAAUAUCUACUCGCUGCUCUAGGAUCCCCUACUGUUAAUCAUAGAAAGCCAAUCGCCGGGUAUGAACUUGCAGAAAGCACAAUCUUUAGGAACUG